UACGAAGGGGGCUAGCGUUGCUCGGAAUCACUGGGCGUAAAGGGUGCGUAGGCGGGUCUUUAAGUCAGGGGUGAAAUCCUGGAGCUCAACUCCAGAACUGCCUUUGAUACUGAAGAUCUUGAGUCCGGGAGAGGUGAGUGGAACUGCGAGUGUAGAGGUGAAAUUCGUAGAUAUUCGCAAGAACACCAGUGGCGAAGGCGGCUCACUGGCCCAGUACUGACGCUGAGGCACGAAAGCGUGGGGAGCAAACAGG
rnacentral:rRNA from 1 species